rnacentral:rRNA from 1 species
GAUGAACGCUGGCGGCGUGCCUAACACAUGCAAGUCGAGCGAUUCUCUUCGGAGAAGAGCGGCGGACGGGUGAGUAACGCGUGGGUAACCUGCCCUGUACACACGGAUAACAUACCGAAAGGUAUGCUAAUACGAGAUAAUAUGCUUUUAUCGCAUGGUAGAAGUAUCAAAGCUUUUGCGGUACAGGAUGGACCCGCGUCUGAUUAGCUAGUUGGUAAGGUAACGGCUUACCAAGGCGACGAUCAGUAGCCGACCUGAGAGGGUGAUCGGCCACAUUGGAACUGAGACACGGUCCAAACUCCUACGGGAGGCAGCAGUGGGGAAUAUUGCACAAUGGGCGAAAGCCUGAUGCAGCAACGCCGCGUGAGUGAUGAAGGCCUUCGGGUCGUAAAGCUCUGUCCUCAAGGAAGAUAAUGACGGUACUUGAGGAGGAAGCCCCGGCUAACUACGUGCCAGCAGCCGCGGUAA